rnacentral:rRNA from 1 species
UGCCAGCCGCCGCGGUAAUACGGAGGGCGCAAGCGUUAUCCGGAAUUAUUGGGUUUAAAGGGUGCGUAGGCGGAAAUUUAAGUCAGUGGUGAAAGCCUGCAGCUCAACUGUAGAAUUGCCAUUGAUACUGAAUUUCUUGAAUAUGAUUGAAGUGGGCGGAAUAUGUCAUGUAGCGGUGAAAUGCUUAGAUAUGACAUAGAACACCGAUAGCGAAGGCAGCUCACUAAGUCAUCAUUGACGCUGAGGGACGAAAGCGUGGGGAGCGAACAGGAUUAGAUA